GACGAACGCUGGCGGCGUGCUUAACACAUGCAAGUCGAACGGAAAGGCCCUGCUUUUGUGGGGUUCUCGAUUGGCGAACGGGUGAGUAACACGUGAGUAACCUGCCCUUGACUUUGUGGUAACUUCAGGGAACUCGGUCUAAUACCGGAUAGGAGCUCCUGCUGCAUGGUGUGGGUUGGAAAGUUUCGGCGGUGCGGGAUGGUCUCGCGGCUUAUCAGCUUGUUGGUGGGGUAGUUGCUUACCAAGGCUUUGACGGGUAGCCGGCCUGGGAGGGUGACCGGCCACCAUGGGACUGAGAUACGGACCAGACUCCUACGGGCGGCAGCAGUCGGGAAUAUUGCACAAUGGGCGGAAGCCUGAUACAGCAACGCCGCGUGCGGGAUGCCGGCCUUCGGGUUGUAAACCGAUUUCGACUGUGACGAAGCGUGAGUGACGGUAAUGGGUAAAGAAGCACCGGCUAACUACGUG
rnacentral:rRNA from 1 species